CAUUUCAGCUUAUGGAGACAAUGACAUUGAUGUAAAAGAAAAGAAUGGAGCCAUUAAAGAUUUUGAACCUAGACCUAAUAUUUCAGCUUAUGGAGAAAAUGUCAUUGAUGCUGAUGAAAAGAAGAAACCAGUCAAAGAUUUUGAACCAAGACCCAAUAUUUCAGCUUAUGGAGACAAUGACAUUGAUGUUAAGGAAAAUAAGGGAGCCACCAACGAUUUUGAGCCAAGACCCAACAUUUCAGCUUAUGGAGACAAUGUCAUUGAUGAUAAUAAAAUGAAGAAACCAGUUGAAUAUUUCCAACCAAGACCAAACAUUUCAGCUUAUGGAGAAAAUGACAUUGAUGUUAAAAAAAGUAAAGAUUUUGAACCAAGACCCAACAUUUCAGCUUUUGGAGACAAUGACAUUGAUGUUAAUGAAAAGAAGGGAGAUACUAAAGAUUUCGAACCAAGACCAAAUAUUUCAGCUUAUGGAGACAAUGCCAUUGAUGAUGAUGAAAUGAAGAAACCAAUUAAAGAUUUUAAACCAAAACCAAACAUUUCGGCUUAUGGAGACAAUGUCAUUGAUGCUGAUGAAAUGAAGAAACCAGUCGAAGGUUUUGAACCAAGACCAAACAUUUCAACUUAUGGAGACAAUGUCAUUGAUGUUGAUGAAAUGAAGAAACAACAAGUCAAAGAUUUUGAACCAAGAACCAACAUUUCAGCUUAUGGAGACAAUGACAUUGAUGUUAAAGAAAAGAAGGGAGUCACCAACGAUUUUGAGCCAAGACCCAACAUUUCAGCUUAUGGAGACAAUGUCAUUGAUGCUAAUAAAAUGAAGAAACCAGUUGACGAUUUCCAACCAAGACCAACUAUUUCAGCUUAUGGAGACAAUGCCAUUGAU
rnacentral:lncRNA from 1 species